GUGGGGAAUAUUGGACAAUGGGCGAAAGCCUGAUCCAGCCAUGCCGCGUGUGUGAAGAAGGUCUUCGGAUUGUAAAGCACUUUAAGUUGGGAGGAAGGGCAGUAAGUUAAUACCUUGCUGUUUUGACGUUACCGACAGAAUAAGCACCGGCUAACUUCGUGCCAGCAGCCGCGGUAAUACGAAGGGUGCAAGCGUUAAUCGGAAUUACUGGGCGUAAAGCGCGCGUAGGUGGUUUUGUAAGUUGGAGGUGAAAUCCCCGGGCUCAACCUGGGAACUGCCUCCAAAACUGCAUGACUAGAGUACGGUAGAGGGUAGUGGAAUUUCCUGUGUAGCGGUGAAAUGCGUAGAUAUAGGAAGGAACACCAGUGGCGAAGGCGACUACCUGGACUGAUACUGACACUGAGGUGCGAAAGCGUGGGGAGCAAACAGGAUUAGAAACCCGUGUAGUCC
rnacentral:rRNA from 1 species